UACGUAGGGUGCAAGCGUUGUCCGGAAUUAUUGGGCGUAAAGAGCGUGUAGGCGGCCCGAUUAGUCCGCUGUGAAAGUCCAGGGCUCAACCCUGGAAUGCCGGUGGAUACUGUCGGGCUAGAGUCCGGAAGGGGCGAGUGGAAUUCCUGGUGUAGCGGUGAAAUGCGCAGAUAUCAGGAGGAACACCUAUGGCGAAGGCAGCUCGCUGGGACGGUACUGACGCUGAGGCGCGAAAGCGUGGGGAGCGAACAGG
rnacentral:rRNA from 1 species